CGAAACCUGCCCAGCAGAGCGACCCGCGAACGCGUGAAAACAAACCGGGACGGGCCGAGGAGGGGCAUUUGCCCCCGAUCACCCGUUUGCCGGACCGCCGACGAAGACCCCGGCGGUCCAAAAGGGCCGUCGGGAAGGAAUGUUGGGGUGUUCGCGCAAAACCAAAAACCGGCGCGACAGGCGCCAAGGAAAUCUAAAAAGGAAACGGAGGGUCGACCCGUACAAGGGCGCGUCCCUCGGAAUCCGAUACUCGAACGACUCCCGGCAACGGAUAUCUCGGCUCUUGCAUCGAUGAAGAACGUAGCGAAAUGCGAUACUUGGUGUGAAUUGCAGAAUCCCGUGAACCAUCGAGUCUUUGAACGCAAGUUGCGCCCGAGGCCACUAGGCCGAGGGCACGUCUGCCUGGGCGUCACACACAGCGUCGCACCCCAACAACCUGUUUGUCGGGGAGCGGAGAUUGGCCCCCCGAGCCCAUUCGGGCACGGUCGGCUCAAAUGUUGGUCCUCGGCGGCGAGCCUCGCUGUCAUCGGUGGUUGUUGUAACAUCUCCCCCGACGGCAGGACGCGAGGCCUCGUCGCACGCACGGACGCAUCGACCCUAGGAGCCGCUGCGCGCGGCA
rnacentral:rRNA from 1 species